rnacentral:rRNA from 1 species
GACGAACCGUGCGAACGUUGUUCGGAAUCACUGGGCUUAAAGGGCGCGUAGGCGGCUCGACAAGUCGGGGGUGAAAUCUUUCGGCUCAACCGGAAAAGGGCCUCCGAUACUGUCGAGCUCGAGGGAGGUAGGGGCGGACGGAACUUCCGGUGGAGCGGUGAAAUGCGUUGAUAUCGGAAGGAACGCCGGUGGCGAAAGCGGUCCGCUGGCCCUCUACUGACGCUGAGGCGCGAAAGCCAGGGGGAGCAAAGC